rnacentral:rRNA from 1 species
AGUGAACGCUGGCGGCAGGCCUAAUACAUGCAAGUCGAACGGCAGCACAGCAGAGCUUGCUCUGUGGGUGGCGAGUGGCGGACGGGUGAGGAAUACAUGGGAAUCUGCCCAGUCGUGGGGGAUAACGUAUGGAAACGUACGCUAAUACCGCAUGCGCCCUACGGGGAAGCCGGGACCGCAAGGCCUGGCGCGAUUGGAUGAGCCCAUGUUCGAUUAGCUAGUUGGCGGGGUAAAGGCCCACCAAGGCGACGAUCGAUAGCUGGUCUGAGAGGAUGAUCAGCCACACUGGAACUGAGACACGGUCCAGACUCCUACGGGAGGCAGCAGUAGGGAAUAUUGGACAAUGGGGGCGAACCCUGAUCCAGCCAUGCCGCGUGAGUGAAGAAGGCCCUCGGGUUGUAAAGCUCUUUUGUCCGGAAAGAAAAGCAAUCGGUUAAUACCCGGUUGUUCUGACGGUACCGGAAGAAUAAGCACCGGCUAACU